rnacentral:rRNA from 1 species
AGUGAACGCUGGCGGUAGGCCUAACACAUGCAAGUCGAACGGCAGCACAGUAAGAGCUUGCUCUUACGGGUGGCGAGUGGCGGACGGGUGAGGAAUACAUCGGAAUCUACUUUUUCGUGGGGGAUAACGUAGGGAAACUUACGCUAAUACCGCAUACGACCUACGGGUGAAAGCAGGGGAUCUUCGGACCUUGCGCGAUUGAAUGAGCCGAUGUCGGAUUAGCUAGUUGGCGGGGUAAAGGCCCACCAAGGCGACGAUCCGUAGCUGGUCUGAGAGGAUGAAUAGGCACACUGGAACUGAGACACGGUCCAGACUCCUACGGGAGGCAGCAGUGGGGAAUAUUGGACAAUGGGCGCAAGCCUGAUCCAGCCAUACCGCGUGGGUGAAGAAGGCCUUCGGGUUGUAAAGCCCUUUUGUUGGGAAAGAAAAGCAGCAGGUUAAUACCCCGCUGUUCUGACGGUACCCAAAGAAUAAGCACCGGCUAACUUCGUG